UCUAAACUCCUUCCCAGUGUGAAAAGAGGACUGACAUUCGCAGACUAUCUUGGACAAAUCCUUAUCAGCAAUGCAAAAACAUGGACUAAUAAAUUCCUCCUGCACUGAGAGAGACGAGAGCAAAACUGGAGGAAAACCUCUCAAGUCCAGGAGUUUAAAAUACCUCCCUCAAGGUAACCAGAAGAAGUAUUUGUAUUGAGAGUGGCAUUACUCACCUUCAGCCCUGUAUUUAGUCUCAAGAGUAAGGAGCCUUAAUCUGUGGGGUUGUCUUUUUGGAAAAUCAUAUAGAUAUUUUAACCUUUAUUUGACCAGAAAGGUCAAUUAAGAACCAAUUCAUAUUUCCAAUGACGGCCUGGCUAAUCUCAUUAGUCGUUCUUAACGUCACUCUCAUCGUGGCCCAGUCACAUGACACAAGGCAUAGCGUGUCUAGAGCCGGUUGAGGUCAGUUUGGAGUUCUCAUCUUGGACGAGCUAGAUCAGCGUUUACGGUCAACUGUUCGUAGAGGACAAAGGUCGAUAGAUCAAUGCCCUCAUACAAGGGUACUCCCUCAGCAGGGACGACCUGAACCUGUGCUGAAGCAGUUUCACAUUUAACGCAAAGUGAGAAAAACACAAGAGGAUACCACACAUCCCUAACAGACAUUACUACAACAAUUCACAGAUGUAAAAAGAUCGGGGCAUUACACAACAUGAGAGGAGUGCCAUCCCCAUGCUUAACACAAAACUGUCCAGAUUGCCAUGGCGAUACCUUUUCCCUCCAUACCUUUCUUGUACUUGUGAAUGGGGAGUUUCUUCAGUUGGUCCUUGCGCAAACGGCUUCUCCGAGCCCUGUGUCUGUCCUGGACAAACUUGGUGAUCUGAGCGAGGAGGGGAAAAGUCAACAGUCAGUUAGGGAGUUUUUAAAGCCCCUUAACCUCGUCUGAAAAAAUCCUGAUGAAUACUCCACAGGAGUUUUUAUGAACCUCACAACGCCAUUGAACUUCGAACCCUCUUGCCAAAAGUCUAACGUCACUAUUCGAUUGACAGUUAUUUUCAAAUUAUAAAGAGAAUUCUCUGCAGUUGAAAAAUUCCACAACCAAUUCUAAAGCAAUAUUUGUAUAUACAAGCAUUUCGCUACACUCACUUUAACAUCUGCUAACCAUGUGUAUGUGACAAAUACAUUUGAUUUGAUUUACAUUUUAACAGAAUGACAUUAAUCAACGUUUUUGUGUCAAUUCUGUUGGAAAUGGGAUGACUUGGGUAACUGGUUCUUCUUCUAGUAAUAAUGUUCGAGUGAGCUAGAAAAAAAAUUGAAUGAGCACGAGCUCUGCUAUUUGUCCUAGCUUGAUGAUAUCGUCACCAGCCCGAUGCCUAGUGCCCUCAGACCAGAACAUCCUAGAAAAACUCCCUACUCCUGACAUUCCCACAGAUCUGCCAUGCCACCAUUGACUCAAUCACAUUAACGAAUGAACUCUACCAGUGUAUUUGCCUACCAUGAAAACAACGAUGAGGAUGAGGCAGAUUCCCACGGUGAUGAGGAAGGGAAUCAGGUAGUAUUCCAGAGGCAGGCUGAAGUCUGGCAUGAGGACCACAUGACCCCUGGAGAACAACAACAACAACAGCACCAUUAUGGAGAUAUAUUCAAGUGUUUAAAGUGUAUCGUCGGCUAGCCUUUCUAGGGAUGUUUUUCCUAGCCACCGUGCUUCUACACCUGCAUUGCUUGCUGUUUGGGGGUUUUAGGCUGGGUUUCUGUACAGCACUUUGAGAUAUCAGCUGAUGUACGAAGGGUUUUAUAAAUACAUUUGAUUUGAUAUCUUUGAGGAACUAGAGACAUUUUAUUUGUUUAAAUCCCAGAUUAUCCACUGAUCUCGGGCAGAGCGCUGGGAACGUGAUGACAAGUCAACACAUUGUGUUACAUUAUUAUGUCAUAAAGAUGGACAUAUAUUUCUUUAAAAAGAUGGACAAUCCGGUUUAUGUUGUCUUUCUACUGAAUUCUUUGAAUAAAAGGAAUAUAUUAUUUAACAA